rnacentral:rRNA from 1 species
GAUGAACGCUGGCGGCGUGCCUAAUACAUGCAAGUCGAGCGAACGGACGAGAAGCUUGCUUCUCUGAUGUUAGCGGCGGACGGGAGAGUAACACGUGGAUAACCUACCUCUAAGACUGGGAUAACCUCGGGAAACCGGAGCUAAUACCGGAUAAUAUUUUGAACCGCAUGGUUCAAAAGUGAAAGACGGUCUUGCUGUCACUUAUAGACUGAUCCGCGCUGCAUUAGCUAGUUGGUAAGGUAACGGCUUAGCAAGGCAACGAUGGAUAGCCGACCUGAGAGGGAGGUCGGCCAGCCUGGAACAGAGGCACAGUCCAGACUCCUACGGGGAGCAGCAGUAGGGAAUCUUACGCGAUGGACGAGUGCCUGACGGAGCAACGCCGCGUGAGUGAUGAAGGUCUUCGGAUCGGAGAGCUCUGUUAUUAGGGAGGAACAUAUGUGUAAGUAACUGUGAACAUAUUGACGGUACCUAGUCAGAAAGCCACGGCUAACUACGUG